AGUGAACGCUGGCGGUAGGCCUAACACAUGCAAGUCGAACGGCAGCACAGUAAGAGCUUGCUCUUACGGGUGGCGAGUGGCGGACGGGUGAGGAAUACAUCGGAAUCUACUUUUUCGUGGGGGAUAACGUAGGGAAACUUACGCUAAUACCGCAUACGACCUACGGGUGAAAGCAGGGGAUCUUCGGACCUUGCGCGAUUGAAUGAGCCGAUGUCGGAUUAGCUAGUUGGCGGGGUAAAGGCCCACCAAGGCGACGAUGCGUAGCUGGCCUGAGAGGAUGGGCGGCCACACUGGAACGGAGAAACGGUCCAGACCACUACGGGAGGAAGCAGUAGGGAAUCUUGCGGAAGGGGCGGAAGGCUGACGGAGCAAUGCCGCGGGAGUGAAGAAGGGCUUCGGAUUGUAAAACUCUGUUAUUAGGGAAGAAAAAAUGUGUAAGUAACUAUGCACGUCUUGACGGUACCUAAUCAGAAAGCCACGGCUAACUACGUG
rnacentral:rRNA from 1 species